UACAGUGGUCUCAAGCGUUGUUCGGAUUCAUUGGGCGUAAAGGGUGUGUAGGUGGCGCGCUAAGUCGGGUGUGAAAUUUCGGAGCUUAACUCCGAAGCUGCAUUCGAUACUGGCGUGCUUGAGGACUGGAGAGGAGACUGGAAUUUACGGUGUAGCAGUGAAAUGCGUAGAUAUCGUAAGGAAGACCAGUGGCGAAGGCGGGUCUCUGGACAGUUCCUGACACUGAGACACGAAGGCCAGGGGAGCAAACGGG
rnacentral:rRNA from 1 species